rnacentral:pre_miRNA from 14 species
UUCUGUGCAAAUGCUACUGAAAGACCCCCAGAGUGGGGAGACCCUCACUCAAGUCUCGGGAUGAUACGACCCCCCCAAGAACUCACGUGAGACC